UCCUCUUGGUGAUCGCCCUGC
rnacentral:miRNA from 1 species